AUACUACCAUCACUAAAUUAAUAGCACCUAUGUUGUAUUUAUAGCUUACAUCAAAAUCUACCCAAAUCCUAAUCCAAUUAAAUUUAUACUCCGAUUAAUAUUUAAAUCUUAAUACUUUAUCUCCAACAUAUUUAAAUAUUAAUCCUAAUCUAACUAAAAUUCAACUACAAAUCUUACCAAAUCCUAACAAUCCCCAUCUUGAAUUGAUUCCUUAG
rnacentral:lncRNA from 1 species